UCUUGGGUAGUUGUAGUUUCUUGCUACAAUAGCAUGUUUUCCUGUAUUUAGGAACCAACUGGUGAACCAUCUCCUAAAAGACCAAGAGGAAGACCUAAAGGAAGCAAAAACAAGAGUCCCUCCAAAGCAGCUCAGAAGAAAGCAGAAGCAACUGGCGAGAAGCGACCCAGAGGCCGGCCUAGAAAAUGGCCUCAGCAAGUGGUUCAAAAGAAGCCUGCUCAGGAAGAGACUGAAGAAACGUCCUCACAAGAAUCUGCAGAGGAAGACUAGGAGACCGCACCACGCAAUUUCUACCUCAUCAGCAGUUGGGUCUUUUGAAGGGAGAAGACACUGCCUUGACCACUUAUUUUCUAUUGCCAUGGUCUUUCCACUUGCCUGGGGGGAAAAAAAAUCGCAUAACCUUAAAAAGGAUUUUACUAAUCAUCUUCUUUGUAAUCCCUUCACAGUCCCAGGUUUAGUGAAAAACUGCUGUAACACAACGGGGGACACAGAUUAACGAUGCAACUUUUAAUUACUGUUUUCUUAUUUCCUUUACCUACUAAUAGUUUGUUGGAGCUGCUAAGUAAGGGUGAAUGGGUCAGAAGAGCUUUGAGUCAGGUUUAAGUCACUCACUGCACUGCAAAGAAACGAGAAACUUGUAACAUAUUCAUUUUAAUGGGCAUUGAGAUAGGAAAGGCUCGGUGUGUAACACAGAGCCUUGCAACACUUCCAGCAACCCACUCCCUACUUAGUAAACUCCCUGUUUUAGAACACCAAAGA